rnacentral:rRNA from 1 species
GGUAGGCGGAAUGUGUAAUGUAGCGGUGAAAUGCAUAGAUAUUACACAGAACACCGAUUGCGUAGGCAGCUUACUAGACUAUUACUGACGCUGAGGCACGAAAGCGUGGGUAGCGAACAGGAUUAGAUACCCUGGUAGUCCACGCCGUAAACGAUGAUCACUCGUUGUGUGCGAUAUACUGUACGUGACUGAGCGAAAGCAUUAAGUGAUCCACCUGGGGAGUACGUUCGCAAGAAUGAAACUCAAAGGAAUUGACGGGGGCCCGCACAAGCGGAGGAACAUGUGGUUUAAUUCGAUGAUACGCGAGGAACCUUACCUGGGCUUAAAUGUAGACGGAUUGCUGUCGAAAGAUGGUUUCCCUUCGGGGCUGUUUACAAGGUGCUGCAUGGCUGUCGUCAGCUCGUGCCGUGAGGUGUCGGGUUAAGUCCCAUAACGAGCGCAACCCCUAUCGUUAGUUGCCAGCGGAUAAUGCCGGGGACUCUAAUGAGACUGCCACCGUAAGGUGUGAGGAAGGUGGGGAUGACGUCAAGUCAGCACGGCCCUUACGUCCAGGGCUACACACGUGUUACAAUGGCCAGUACAAAGGGCAGCUACCUGGUGACAGGAUGCUAAUCUCUAAAUCUGGUCUUAGUUCGGAUUGAAGUCUGCAACUCGACUUCAUGAAGUUGGAUUCGCUAGUAAUCGUAUAUCAGCAAUGAUACGGUGAAUACGUUCCCGGGCCUUGUACACACCGCCCGUCAAGCCAUGGAAGCCGGGGGUAUCUGAAGUCCGUAACCGCAAGGAUCGGCCUAGGGUAAAACUGGGUAACUGGGGGCUAAGUCGUAACAAGG